AAAAAUCCGGCGCGUUUAAAUUUAGGAUAUUUUCGAAUUUCACGGGAAAUUUAUAGCUUUUGGCAUCGAUGUAAAAUGAGAAAAUUCAUUUUAAUCCGAAUUAAUCCAACUCUUGGUGUUUCUUUAUUGAAAUAACCGAAUGAAAUCGGUUUAAAUAGAAAGUUUUUAGUGAAAGCAUGACCAGGAUUUUUUGCUACAUCUUAACACGUUAAAAGGAGGCGAAACACCGGAAAUGAUCUUUAGAUUACAUUCAUAGAUAGCGGGAAAAUGGUUAAAAUAAGUUAUUUAACCAUAACACUUCCUUUAUUGUUAAUUAUUUGUUUUGUAUCAUCAAUUAGUUAUGGAAAACCUCGUCACCAAUAUCAGGAUAAACCCGUUUAUACGUAUGUUAAAACAUAUCGAAAUGCCCAUUUCAAAUGGGGCGUUAGCAUUGGAAAACCUAGAUAAAAAAAAGUGAGGUUAUAAAUUAACAUUAACUUUAAUUAUUAAUUGUAUUAUUCGUAAAAUGAUUAAAUCUUUUAAUUACGUUUAAUUUGAGUUGAAUAAUUCGAAAUAAUAAAGAAAUUAACUAAAA